GUGGAUUAGUGGCGAACGGGUGAGUAACACGUGGGCAAUCUGCCCUUCACUCUGGGACAAGCCCUGGAAACGGGGUCUAAUACCGGAUAACACUCUGUCCCGCAUGGGACGGGGUUAAAAGCUCCGGCGGUGAAGGAUGAGCCCGCGGCCUAUCAGCUUGUUGGUGGGGUAAUGGCCUACCAAGGCGACGACGGGUAGCCGGCCUGAGAGGGCGACCGGCCACACUGGGACUGAGACACGGCCCANANUNAUACGGGAGGCAGCAGUGGGGAAUAUUGCACAAUGGGCGAAAGCCUGAUGCAGCGACGCCGCGUGAGGGAUGACGGCCUUCGGGUUGUAAACCUCUUUCAGCAGGGAAGAAGCGAAAGUGACGGUACCUGCAGAAGAAGCGCCGGCUAACUACGUGCCAGCAGCCGCGGUAAUACGUAGGGCGCAAGCGUUGUCCGGAAUUAUUGGGCGUAAAGAGCUCGUAGGCGGCUUGUCACGUCGGAUGUGAAAGCCCGGGGCUUAACCCCGGGUCUGCAUUCGAUACGGGCUAGCUAGAGUGUGGUAGGGGAGAUCGGAAUUCCUGGUGUAGCGGUGAAAUGCGCAGAUAUCAGGAGGAACACCCGGUGGCGAAGGCGGAUCUCUGGGCCAUUACUGACGCUGAGGAGCGAAA
rnacentral:rRNA from 2 species